CCUGACGACAUUAGCGAGUGUGAACCACCUGAUUCCAUCCCGAACUCAGAAGUGAAACCACUCAGCGCCGAUGGUAGUGUGGGGUUUCCCCAUGUGAGAGUAGGUCAUUGUCAGGC
rnacentral:rRNA from 1 species